rnacentral:rRNA from 1 species
AACGAACGCUGGCGGCAGGCUUAACACAUGCAAGUCGAGCGCCCCGCAAGGGGAGCGGCAGACGGGUGAGUAACGCGUGGGAAUCUACCCAGCUCUACGGAACAACUCCGGGAAACUGGAGCUAAUACCGUAUACGUCCUUCGGGAGAAAGAUUUAUCGGAGUUGGAUGCGCCCGCGUUGGAUUAGCUAGUUGGUGGGGUAAUGGCCUACCAAGGCGACGAUCCAUAGCUGGUUUGAGAGGAUGAUCAGCCGCACUGGGACUGAGACACGGCCCAGACUCCUACGGGAGGCAGCAGUGGGGAAUAUUGGACAAUGGGCGAAAGCCUGAUCCAGCCAUGCCGCGUGAGUGAUGAAGGCCCUAGGGUUGUAAAGCUCUUUCACCGGUGAAGAUAAUGACGGUAACCGGAGAAGAAGCCCCGGCUAACUUCGUGCCAGCAGCCGCCGUAA